GCAUAAUCAUUUGCCUUCUAAUUAAAGGUUAGAAUGAAAGGACAAACGAGGUUUAACCUGUCUCUAUAUUUCCCAUAAAAAUUAACUUUUAGGUGAAGAGGCCUAAAUUAUCUAAAAAGACAAGAAGACCCUGUUGAGUUUUAUUUUUACACGAACAAAAUUUUGUUGGGGCGACCAAGGAAUAAACAAAACUUCCUUCUUAAUAAAGAGCCAUAUCUCUAAUAAAUUGACCCUUUAUUGAUCAACAGAAUAAACUACCACAGGGAUAACAGGCUUAUUUUCUUUAAGAGUUCACAUUGAUAAGAAAGUUUGGCAACCUCGAUGUUGGCUUAGGAUUAACCUCUAAAAUGCAGAAGUUUUAAUGAGUAAGUUUGUUCAACUUUUAAAAUCCU
rnacentral:rRNA from 1 species